UAGAAUUGGACUUGGACGGAACGGCAAGACAGACCCACAGUCCUUGGCCACUGGUGCCCAUCGUCGCCAACGACCAAUCGUGGCACUGCGAGGCCUUUCACCACGCCUCCGAUUCACGCCCAAAUGGUACCAGACGAUGGGCAUCUCUCGCGACUUUAUUGCCGCGCUUUACGAGCAUGCUCCAUGCUUAUACACCGUGCUCGUUGUUUCUCGAUGGACACAAGGGGGGGCCCCGUCCUGAGCUAUCGGGGAAGUGACAAUGCACGACUGAAACAGGAUGCGACACAAUAGCAGCGACGGUGACGUAAGGCGGUGAUCGAUCGUUUUGGUUUCCCUUGAUGACAAUGGCCCAAUAAUGCUACCGAUUGGCGAGAGAAACCGGUCUGGACGGAAAUUUAAGAGAUCCCAACAACCAUAAAGAUGCUCCAGUUGGUAUCGCUCAAAGGGAUCUCAAUGUAUUACUCUUAUGACGAUGUUGACAGACUCAUUGCAGCGGAACUGCGUGAGUUUUUGAACUCUGAAGCCAAUGUUUUCAGUAGUUAAAUUUCGUAUUUCGAGAAAGACGAAUACAGAGAAAAAAACUCCUCCGUUUAGCUUAUUCUAGUUGGCAUUUCUGUCCAAACUAUAUUAGAGAAUGUUUGAUUACAAUUUAUAAGAUAUUUAGAUACUCGAGAGUGUGCAGUGGAAACAUAUCUCUUGCAUUGAAUCUAACAUCGAUCUUAAUAUUGAAAUACUCUUUUGAAAUAUAGAAUUUAAAAAGUAAAAUAUUUAAAUGUUGUAUCCAAGUUUUUCCAAUUAUACCUUUCAGUCUUACUGUUGAAAUUAUAUUUUGCAAAAAUGCAUUAAUGGAUAAUAAAGGAAUUAAAAUGUUGACUUAAGUACUUUUAUAAAAUUUUGAUAAAACCAACAGCACUAUGAAUCUUAUCGCGUUCGUUGUAGCCAUUAAGAUAUACAGAAAAUAACUCCAUCAAAGAAAUAACGGCUAAACAGCAGGAGAUCCAACGGAUGUCUCUCAUUAUCGAAAACAAAGAUAAAGGUAUACAGAAAGUAAAAAGUAAAGGUAAACCAGGUAAAGGCAACACGCAGAG